rnacentral:rRNA from 1 species
GGUUGACCUCGGAUCAGGUAGGAAUACCCGCUGAACUUAAGCAUAUCAAUAAGCGGAGGAAAAGAAACCAACAGGGAUUGCCCCAGUAACGGCGAGUGAAGCGGCAACAGCUCAAAUUUGAAAUCUGGCCCCAGGCCCGAGUUGUAAUUUGCAGAGGAUGCUUUUGGCGCGGUGCCUUCCGAGUUCCCUGGAACGGGACGCCAUAGAGGGUGAGAGCCCCGUACGGUUGGACACCAAGCCUUUGUAAAGCUCCUUCGACGAGUCGAGUAGUUUGGGAAUGCUGCUCUAAAUGGGAGGUACAUUUCUUCUAAAGCUAAAUAUUGGCCAGAGACCGAUAGCGCACAAGUAGAGUGAUCGAAAGAUGAAAAGCACUUUGAAAAGAGGGUUAAACAGCACGUGAAAUUGUUAAAAGGGAAGCGCUUGUGACCAGACUUGCGUCCGGUGAAUCACCCAGCUCUCGCGGCUGGGGCACUUCGCCGGCACAGGCCAGCAUCAGCUUGCCGUCGGGGACAAAAGCUUCAGGAACGUGGCUCCUCUCGGGGAGUGUUAUAGCCUGUUGCAUAAUACCCUUCGGCGGGCUGAGGUACGC